GACGGAAGGUGCAAGCGUUGCUCGGAAUCACUGGGCGUAAAGAGCUCGUAGGCGGCUUGUCGCGUCGACUGUGAAAACCCGAAGCUCAACUUCGGGCCUGCAUCCGAAACUGCCCGACUAGAGGUAGGUAGGGGAGGAUCGGAAUUCCUGGUGUAGCGGUGAAAUGCGCAGAUAUCAGGAGGAACACCGGUGGCGAAGGCGGAUCUCUGGGCCUUACCUGACGCUCAGGUGCGAAAGCUAGGGGAGCGAACAGG
rnacentral:rRNA from 1 species